rnacentral:rRNA from 1 species
UGGGGAAUAUUGCACAAUGGGCGAAAGCCUGAUGCAGCAACGCCGCGUGAGGGACGACGGCCUUCGGGUUGUAAACCUCUUUUAGCAAGGAAGAAGCGAAAGUGACGGUACUUGCAGAAAAAGCGCCGGCUAACUACGUGCCAGCAGCCGCGGUAAUACGUAGGGCGCAAGCGUUAUCCGGAAUUAUUGGGCGUAAAGAGCUCGUAGGCGGUUUGUCGCGUCUGCUGUGAAAACCCGAGGCUCAACCUCGGGCCUGCAGUGGGUACGGGCAGACUAGAGUGCGGUAGGGGAGAUUGGAACUCCUGGUGUAGCGGUGGAAUGCGCAGAUAUCAGGAAGAACACCGAUGGCGAAGGCAGAUCUCUGGGCCCGUAACUGACGCUGAGGAGCGAAAGGGUGGGGAGCAAACAGGCUUAGAUACCCUGGUAGUCCACCCCGUAACGUUGGGAACUAGUUGUGGGGUCCAUUCCACGGAUUCCGUGACGCAGCUAACGCAUUAAGUUCCCCGCCUGGGGAGUAC